rnacentral:rRNA from 1 species
UACGUAGGGUGCAAGCGUUAAUCGGAAUUACUGGGCGUAAAGCGUGCGCAGGCGGUUCGUUAAGUCAGCUGUGAAAGCCCCGGGCUCAACCUGGGAAUUGCGGUUGAAACUGGCGAACUAGAAUCUGGCAGAGGGGGGUGGAAUUCCACGUGUAGCAGUGAAAUGCGUAGAGAUGUGGAGGAACACCGAUGGCGAAGGCAGCCCCCUGGGCUGAGAUUGACGCUCAGGCACGAAAGCGUGGGGAGCAAACAGG